rnacentral:snoRNA from 1 species
AUUUUUGCCCUUGAAACAAAAUUAAAAAUAAAUAAAUAAUUGAUUGGUCUCACUACCUAUGACAGGGAGUUGUAAUGUUCUCUCCUGAGUGCAAAGUGAGCAGGUGGUGCUGCCAUGGUGCAGCUGUUGCCAGCUACUAUGACUGUUCUGCUUCCCCUGCAGGGUAAGAUGGGGGUGGGCACUCUGAGAUGU